UACGUAGGGUGCGAGCGUUGUCCGGAAUUACUGGGCGUAAAAGAGCUCGUAGGUGGUUUGUCGCGUUGUUCGUGAAAACUCACAGCUCAACUGUGGGCGUGCGGGCGAGACGGGGCAGACUGGAGUACUGCAGGGGAGACUGGAAUUCCUGGUGUAGCGGUGGAAUGCGCAGAUAUCAGGAGGAACACCGGUGGCGAAGGCGGGUCUCUGGGCAGUAACUGACGCUGAGGAGCGAAAGCGUGGGGAGCGAACAGG
rnacentral:rRNA from 1 species